UUCCAGGGAUGGGAAUCGAACCCACAAUGUUCCGCUUACCGGGCAGAUGCCAUGUCCACUAGGCUACCCUGGA